CAUCGUCACACGCUAUCGAUAACAUCAUUCCACAAUCUUUGUCUCUAUCAUCUGCGAUUGGAACAGCUUCGGUUUGAGCUCGUUACUACUUACUGGUGUGUUCUUUCCUUAGAUCUGAAGCUGAUAAACAUACCACUGAUUGGCGAGUUUUCUUCUCUGUUCUGUAGAUUCACCUAUCGGACCGAAAUUCUACGAUAUCUAGGUUUCCGGUCACGACGGUGCAAAAUGGGAUUCUCGUUUCCGGAGGAUCUGUUGGAACAUGUUUUCUCGUUCAUAACCUCUGAUAAGGACAGGAAUGCCGUUUCAUUGGUGUGCAAGUCGUGGUACGAGAUCGAGCGGUGGUGCCGGAGGAGGGUUUUCAUUGGGAACUGUUACGCUGUGAGCCCGGGGAUUGUGAUUAGGAGGUUUCCGGACUUGAAAUCGGUGGAGUUGAAAGGGAAACCGCAUUUUGCGGAUUUUAAUUUGGUUCCGGAUGGUUGGGGAGGAUAUGUUUACCCAUGGAUCGUUGAGUUUUCAAGAGCGUACCCUUGGUUAGAGGAGAUAAAGCUUAAGCGGAUGGUAGUCACUGAUGAGAGCUUGGAGUUGAUUUCCAAGUCUUUUAAGAGCUUUAAGGUUUUAGUUCUGUCUUCAUGCGAGGGUUUCAGUACCGAUGGACUCGCUGCCAUUGCCGCUAAUUGCAGAAAUUUAAAAGUACUAGAUUUGCGCGAGAGUGAAGUGGAGGAGCUAAGUGGACAUUGGUUAAGUCACUUCCCUGAUAGUUUCACCACAUUGGAAUCUCUUAACAUAGCUUGCUUGGGUUCUGAGGUAAGUUUCUCAGCCCUUGAGCACCUGGUUGCCCGCUCACCCAACUUAAAGACUCUUCGACUCAACCGUGCUGUACCCCUUGACAAGCUCUCCACACUUCUACACAGAGCCCCACAGCUGGUUGAGUUUGGCACAGGUGCCUAUUCUGCAGAAACUCGACCCAGUGUGUAUUCAAGUUUAGCAGAAGCUUUCUCACAUUGCAAAGAGCUUAAAGACCUUUCUGGGUUUUGGGAUGCUGUUCCUUCAUAUCUCCCAGCCAUUUAUCCCGUUUGUUCUAGGCUCACUUCAUUGAACUUGAGCUAUUCCCCUAUUCAAAGCCCUGAUAUCACCAAAAUCAUAACUCAGUGCCCUAAUCUCCAGCGUCUAUUGGUACUGGAUUACAUUGAGGAUGCUGGGCUUAAUGCCCUUGCUAUGUCAUGUAAGAACCUACAAGAGCUAAGGGUGUUCCCUUCUGAACCUUAUGUAAUGAAUUCAAAUGUCUCCUUAACAGAACAAGGCCUUGUUUCUGUUUGUGAAGGGUGCCCUAAGCUUCAGUCAGUUCUCUACUUCUGUAGACAAAUGUCAAAUUCUGCAUUGUUCAGCAUUGCUAGGGCACGUCCUAACUUAACAUGCUUUCGUCUAUGCAUUAUCGAACCCCAAGCCCCUGAUUACCUCACAUUUGAACCACUGGAUUCCGGUUUCGGAGCCAUAGUAGAACACUGUAAGGACCUCACACGUCUUUCAUUAUCCGGUUUCCUUACAGAUCGUGUGUUCGAGUACAUUGGGGCACAUGGUAAGAAGUUAAAGAUGCUUUCUUUAGCUUUUGCUGGCGAUAGUGAUUUAGGGUUGCAUCAUGUUUUAUCGGGGUGUGAGAGGUUAAGUAAGUUGGAGAUUAGGGAUUGCCCUUUUGGGGAUAAGGCUUUGUUGGGUAAUGCUGCUAAGCUGGAGACAAUGCGAUCCCUUUGGAUGUCUUCAUGUUCAGUUAGUUUUGGAGCGUGUAAAUUGCUUGGUGAAAAGAUGGGUAGGGUUAAUGUUGAGGUUAUGGAUGAGAGUGAUUACUUGGAGUUGGAUUCAAAGUCGGAUGGUUGUUUAGUUGAAAAGCUUUAUGUAUAUCGAACAGUCUCGGGUCCAAGGGAUGACAUGCCUCCCUUUAUAUACACAAUGGGUCAAGACUCUGCAUACAGGUUGAAUUAAUUAGGGAUAUGAUGUCCAUGUCCAUGACCAUGGGUAUAGAAGAUUGAUUACAAGGUAUUAUGAUGCCAUGGAGUCUAGUGAAGCAGAAUGACAGCUGGCUUGAUUCUUUUGGACCGAUUAUUUAUUUUUUUUACCGUUUGGAUUCUCUUGGAUCAAAUUUCUUUAGUCAAACGUAUCCUGAUAAUUAAACCUUAGCAACCGUUACUGAUUAUGUACACAUAUAUCUUAAAAUCUGUGACACUGUGAUAUAUAUAUUUUUUGCUCAAAAUCCUGCCUCACC